rnacentral:rRNA from 1 species
UGGGGAAUUUUGGACAAUGGGGGAAACCCUGAUCCAGCCAUCCCGCGUGUGCGAUGAAGGCCUUCGGGUUGUAAAGCACUUUUGGCAGGAAAGAAACGUCGCGGGUUAAUACCCCGCGAAACUGACGGUACCUGCAGAAUAAGCACCGGCUAACUACGUGCCAGCAGCCGCGGUAAUACGUAGGGUGCAAGCGUUAAUCGGAAUUACUGGGCGUAAAGCGUGCGCAGGCGGUUCGGAAAGAAAGAUGUGAAAUCCCAGAGCUUGACUUUGGAACUGCAUUUUUAACUACCGGGCUAGAGUGUGUCAGAGGGAGGUGGAAUUCCGCGUGUAGCAGUGAAAUGCGUAGAUAUGCGGAGGAACACCGAUGGCGAAGGCAGCCUCCUGGGAUAACACUGACGCUCAUGCACGAAAGCGUGGGGAGCAAACAGGAUUAGAUACCCUGGUAGUCCACGCCCUAAACGAUGUCAACUAGCUGUUGGGGCCUUCGGGCCUUGGUAGCGCAGCUAACGCGUGAAGUUGACCGCCUGGGGAGUACGGUCGCAAGAUUAAAACUUAAAUGAAUUGACGGGGUCAUAGCUGUUUCC